CCUACGGGGCGCACCAGUGGGGAAUAUUGCACAAUGGGCGCAAGCCUGAUGCAGCCAUGCCGCGUGUGUGAAGAAGGCCUUCGGGUUGUAAAGCACUUUCAGCGGGGAGGAAGGCGUUAAGGUUAAUAACCUUGGCGAUUGACGUUACUCGCAGAAGAAGCACCGGCUAACUCCGUGCCAGCAGCCGCGGUAAUACGGAGGGUGCAAGCGUUAAUCGGAAUUACUGGGCGUAAAGCGCACGCAGGCGGUCUGUCAAGUCGGAUGUGAAAUCCCCGGGCUCAACCUGGGAACUGCAUUCGAAACUGGCAGGCUAGAGUCUUGUAGAAGGGGGUAGAAUUCCAGGUGUAGCGGUGAAAUGCGUAGAGAUCUGGAGGAAUACCGGUGGCGAAGGCGGCCCCCUGGACAAAGACUGACGCUCAGGUGCGAGAGCGUGGGGAGCAAACAGGAUUAGAUACCCUUGUAGUC
rnacentral:rRNA from 1 species